UUGGUGUUGUCUUUUCUAGAUGUCCUCGCUUGUGUCAGUGUUGUGUCAUGUUGUCAUGUGUCAUCUCAAUAGUGCAGAUCUCUAUACAUUGUGCUGCUCAACACUUGCUAAGGAUCGGAGAAAACUGCUGAUUUGUAACAGAUCAGAGAGGGUGCCCAGUACCUCAUGCUUGUCUCCGUGUAGGCAUGUUGGAUCAGAGUGGGUCCCCAGUACCUCGUGCAUGUCUGCUUGUCUCACUGUAGGCAUGAGGGAUAAGAUUAGGUUCCCAGUACCUCAUGCUUGUCUCACUGUAGGCAUGAGGGAUAAGAUUAGGUCCCCAGUACCUCAUGCUUGUCUGCUUGUCUCACUGUAGGCAUGAGGGAUAAGAUUAGGUCCCCAGUACCUCAUGCUUGUCUGCUUGUCUCACUGUAGGCAUGAGGGAUAAGAUUAGGUUCCCAGUACCUCAUGCUUGUCUGCUUGUCUCACUGUAGGCAUGAGGGAUAAGAUUAGGUCCCCAGUACCUCAUGCUUGUCUCACUGUAGGCAUGAGGGAUAAGAUUAGGUCCCCAGUACCUCAUGGCUUGUCUAAGAUUGUCUCACUGUAGGCAUGAGGGAGGGAUAAGAUUAGGUCCCCAGUACCUCAUGCUUGUCUCUCACUGUAGGCAUGAGGG